rnacentral:rRNA from 1 species
CGCGUGGGCAAUCUGCCCCAGGCUCUGGAAUAACCCCCGGAAACGGGGGCUAAUGCCGGAUAUUCUCGGAACCCCGCAUGAGGAUCCGAGGAAAGGGUUACCGGCCUGGGAUGGGCCCGCGGCCUAUCAGCUAGUUGGUGAGGUAACGGCCCACCAAGGCGACGACGGGUAGCUAGCGUGAGAGCGCGGCCAGCCACACUGGGACUGAGACACGGCCCAGACUCCUACGGGAGGCAGCAGUGGGGAAUCUUGCACAAUGGGCGGAAGCCUGAUGCAGCGACGCCGCGUGGGGGAUGAAGGCCCUCGGGUUGUAAACCCCUUUCGACGGGGAAGAAGCGAAAGUGACGGUACCCGUAGAAGAAGCCCCGGCUAACUACGUGCCAGCAGCCCGCGGUAAGACGUAGGGGGCGAGCGUUGUCCGGAUUUACUGGGCGUAAAGCGCGCGCAGGCGGCCCGUUAAGUCGGAUGUGAAAACCUGGGGCUCAACCCCAGGCCUGCACCCGAUACUGGCGGGCUGGAGGCAGGUAGGGGAGAUCGGAAUUCCUGGUGUAACGGNGAAAUGCGCAAGAUAUCAGGAGGAACACCGGUGGCGAAGGCGGGAUCUCUGGGCCUAUCCUGACGCUCAUCCCCGAAAGCUAAGGGGAGCAAAC